GUCCUAGCCGUAAACGAUGGGUACUAAGUGUCGGCCGAUCGACCCGGUCGGUGCUGCAGCUAACGCGUUAAGUACCCCGCCUGGGGAGUACGACCGCAAGGUUGAAACUCAAAGGAAUUGACGGGGGCCCGCACAAGCGGUGGAGCAUGUGGUUUAAUUCGACGCAACGCGAAGAACCUUACCCAGGCUUGACAUACUAGGGACAGUCCCAGAGAUGGGAUCUUCCUUCGGGACCCUAGAACAGGUGCUGCAUGGCUGUCGU
rnacentral:rRNA from 1 species